GUGGGAACGACGGGUGCCCAGAGCUGCCCACCCUCUCCAUAGGAGUGAGGAGGGGAGGAAUGAUGCUGGCUAAACAUUUUCCUCAGGUGAUGCCUAGGGAGAACACCCACUACCUGGAUGUUAAUUUGGACCAGGUCUCCUGCCCUCUGGCCCCAGGUUGCUCCAGAUCUAGCAGUCACGCGCCCUCAGCCGAGGCUUCGGGAAAUCCGGAAGGCCAAGAAGAAGGAAUGGCCCUGCGCCCGGCUGACUGCUCCUUCGACCGCUAACGCCUCCUCGUCAGCCAGCUUGGGUCAGCCAGUCUGAGCCGUUGGCACCCGCACAACCACUCCAGCCCUGGCAGCCAGAGCCAGAGCUGGGCCUGGUGGAGAAGUAAUGACGUCUGAGCUGUCUGGUGUGUAGGCUGAGAACCUGGCUGAUCGCCCUUCUCAUCUCCAUAUGAUCUUGGACCCGGUGCAGAGGUGAAGUCAGAGCCAAACGGACGAAAGUAAAGUGGAGCCGUCAUGGCAGUGGGAUGGGGCAGGCUGUCUAGGCGAGGACCACCCUCACCCACUCCACACCCACCUCCUGCUCUAACCUGGGGACCCUGACCUUGGGCAAGUCACUUUACUUCUCCGGACCUCGGUUAACUCUUCUCUAAAAUGGGGAUUGAGACGGAGCCCCAGGUGGAAAAGGGACUGCGUCAAACCCGAUUUGCUUGUAUCCACCCCAGCGCUUAGUACAGUGCCUGGCUUGUAGUAAGUGCUUUACAAAUACUAUAAUUAUUUUGGUCCCGACAAUUUCUUCCCUUCCCGUAUUUAGGCUCCUAUCCCAGCUCUGUCCCUCGAGGCGUGCCUCACCCUGGUCCCGAGGACUACCCUUGACACUCCCAGCUCUUCCAGGGCGCUCUAACCCUGUUUUCCCUGGGUCUCGGGAGAGGAGAGGCAGUGUGGCCCAGAGAGAAUCCGGAGAGCUGGGUUUUAGCCCCAACCUCUCAGGUGAAUGACUUCAACUCUCUGACCUUGGUUUCCUCCUCUGUGGAAAAAGGGAGGAUUGACGCCAGCCUCUCCCCACCUCCCAGUGAAGGUGUGAAGGUGCAAGGAGAAAGCCGACAGAAAGACCCAAGCCUCGGACUCAGAAAUCCUGGGUUUUAAUUUUGGCUCUAAUCAUUAACAACAAUAAUAAUAAUGGUAUUUUUUAGGAAUUUACUACAGGCCAUGCAUUAUAGUAAACGCUGGGGUAGAUACAAGAUAAUCAGAUUGGACACAGUCCCUCUCCCACGUGGGAUCACAGUCUCAGCAGGAGGGAGAACUGGUAAAAUCCCCAUUUUGCAGAUGAGGAAAUAAUAAUGAUGAUAGUUAUUAAGUGCUCACAGAGAAGUUAACCUGCCCAAAGUCACACAGCAGGCAAGGAGCAGAGUGGGAUUAGAACCCAGGUCCUGUGACUCCCGGGCCCAUGCCCUUUCCACUAGGUAUGUUGCCUGCUCUGCCACUUGCCUGCUGGGUGACCUUGGACAAGUCCAUUUAUCUGUGCCUCAAUUUCCUCAUCUGUAAAAUGGGGAUUAAAUACCACUCCUCCCUCCCCCUUAGACUGUGAAUGCCAUGUGGGAAAGGGACUGUGUCUGACCUGAACGUUCUGUACCUGGCCAGUUGGUCAGUGAUAUUUGCCGAGUAGUAAUUGUGUGCAAAUCACUGUCCCGAGCUCUAGAAUGAGUCCAGUAUAUUAGAUUUGGAACACCCGAAACCUGCUGUCGAGGAGCUUAUAAGGAAGUGUUUUCCCCAGUGUUAAAGUACUGUGCACAAAGUAAGCACUUAAAAUAUGGAGGGGGGAGGUGCUGAGGUCGAACACACAAACACAAGCGUGUGCAUGCUCUGGGAGUAGAGGAG
rnacentral:lncRNA from 1 species